CUUUUUCUUCACCGAUGUAAGAGAGAGGGUUGCAUAUGCUGCCAGCUUUCAGUAAGCUAGCGGCCUACACCAAUCACAUGGCUGGACACAGGAGGGCAAGGAGGCCUUUUCCAAAGGGGGAGGAGAGAGGAUGACACAUGUUGGGCACCCUGGCGACAUGCCCAGCC